AGUUUAGUGAAAAAAUACUAAAUUAGUUCUGCCCAGUGUGUAAAUACAUAAAUGGCCGCAGUACCCUGACUGUGCUAAGGUAGCAUAAUCAAUUGGCUUUUAAUUGAAGUCUGGAAUGAAAGAAUUUAUGGAGUUUUUCUGUCUUAAAAGUACUGUUAGUAAGUUAGUUAUUAGGUGAAAAUACCUAAAUUAAAUUAAAAGACGAGAAGACCCUAAGAGUUUUUAAUAAAAGUGUUAUACAAUUCACUUAUUUUUUUGUUGGGGCGACAAUUUAACAAAUAUAACUUAAAUUUUAUUAAAGGCGAAUAUUUUAAGAAAGAAAAAACUACCUUAGGGAUAACAGCAUAAUUUUUAAAAAGUUUGUGACCUCGAUGUUGGACUAGGAACUUUAUGGCUAGCAGUCAAAAAAGAUUUAUUCUGUUCGAAUAAUUUUAUCCU
rnacentral:rRNA from 1 species